rnacentral:lncRNA from 1 species
UUUUGAUUAACUCACAUGUGUAUGAUGGCUUGAGUGAAUUGUGAGUGGGUUAGUCUUAAGGUUUUCAUUGUUAUAUUUUGAGCAUUAUUGUGCUUAUUAUACCUUCCUUUUGUAAUCUGUUUUUGUGUAUAUUGGAUUGGUCUCUUGGUGUCUUACCACCACAAAGAUAGAGCGAUUCUUCACCAAGACUAGGAGGUCUUGAAUUGAGAACGAGAAUCUUUGCUAGGGCUGGUUUGCGAGAAAGUUUUCUCUGGCGAUAGGUAGAGUCAAACCAUGGAUUAGAUGUUCUAGGAUUUCAAAAAAGAAGUGUCCUAAGUUUUGUAAAUUGAAUUGGUGUAUGUGAUUACACUUGUAUUCAAUAUAGUGAAGAAGAAAAUCUCCCAAGAUCAUAAGGGGAGGUCUGGAUGUAGUUUGCAGUGGACCACAAAUGAACAGGAUAAAAAUUUAUCUGUGCACGUUGUUCUCUCUUAAUCUUCUUUACAUUUCUUGUUGUUUUAAUGCGAGUUAGAAACUGAUAUUUUGCAUGCUUCUACCCUGCCAUAUACUUAUUAAUAUUGCUUAAAAAUAUAUGUUGUAUCUCUGCUUAUCUGUUAAUAAA